rnacentral:rRNA from 1 species
UACGGGAGGCAGCAGUAGGGAAUCUUCCGCAAUGGACGAAAGUCUGACGGAGCAACGCCGCGUGAACGAUGAAGGCUUUCGGGUCGUAAAGUUCUGUUGUUAGGGAAGAACAAGUACCAGAGUAACUGCUGGUACCUUGACGGUACCUAACCAGAAAGCCACGGCUAACUACGUGCCAGCAGCCGCGGUAAUACGUAGGUGGCAAGCGUUGUCCGGAAUUAUUGGGCGUAAAGCGCGCGCAGGUGGUCCUUUUAAAGUCUGAUGUGAAAGCCCACGGCUCAACCGUGGAGGGUCAUUGGAAACUGGGGGACUUGAGUGCAGAAGAGGAAAGUGGAAUUCCACGUGUAGCGGUGAAAUGCGUAGAGAUGUGGAGGAACACCAGUGGCGAAGGCGACUUUUCUGGUCUGUAACUGACACUGAGGCGCGAAAGCGUGGGGAGCGAACAGGGAUUAGAUACC